GAUGAACGCUGGCGGCGUGCUUAACACAUGCAAGUCGAACGGAAAGGCCCAAGCUUGCUUGGGUACUCGAGUGGCGAACGGGUGAGUAACACGUGGGUGAUCUGCCCUGCACUUCGGGAUAAGCCUGGGAAACUGGGUCUAAUACCGGAUAGGACCACAUUUUGGAUGGUGUGGUGGAAAGUUUUUCGGUGUGGGAUGAGCUCGCGGCCUAUCAGCUUGUUGGUGGGGUAAUGGCCUACCAAGGCGUCGACGGGUAGCCGGCCUGAGAGGGUGUACGGCCACAUUGGGACUGAGGUACGGCCCAGACUCCUACGGGAGGCAGCAGUGGGGAAUAUUGCACAAUGGGCGCAAGCCUGAUGCAGCGACGCCGCGUGGGGGAUGACGGCCUUCGGGUUGUAAACUCCUUUCGCUAGGGACGAAGCGCAAGUGACGGUACCUGGAGAAGAAGCACCGGCUAACUACGUG
rnacentral:rRNA from 1 species